CUCUGGGCAGCUCAAGCGGCUAAUGUUGGUUUUUCUUGGAAAAUUGUUAAUGGUAAAAGGAUCAGAUUCUGGGAGGACCAUUGGUUUGGUAAUGCCACCUUGGCCACCCAAUAUUGGGAUCUAUAUGUCCUUGCUAAUGAGCAUAAUGCCACCAUUGAUAAAAUUUGGGACGACAGUAACCUUAAAAUUAGUUUUCGGAGAUGUUUCACUCAGGAACUUAUGUCUCUAUGGUACGAGCUUUUGGAAUUGCCAGUUCUAUUCAUCUCUCUGUAG
rnacentral:rRNA from 1 species